GAUGAACGCUGGCGGCGUGCCUAAUACAUGCAAGUAGAACGCUGAAGGAGGAGCUUGCUCUUCUGGAUGAGUUGCGAACGGGUGAGUAACGCGUAGGUAACCUGCCUGGUAGCGGGGGAUAACUAUUGGAAACGAUAGCUAAUACCGCAUGACAACAGUUAUUGCAUGAUAACUGUUUAAAAGGGGCAACUGCUCCACUACCAGAUGGACCUGCGUUGUAUUAGCUAGUUGGUGAGGUAAAGGCUCACCAAGGCGACGAUACAUAGCCGACCUGAGAGGGGGAUCGGCCACACUGGGACUGAGACACGGCCCAGACUCCUACGGGAGGCAGCAGUAGGGAAUCUUCGGCAAUGGACGGAAGUCUGACCGAGCAACGCCGCGUGAGUGAAGAAGGUUUUCGGAUCGUAAAGAUCUGUUGUAAGAGAAGAACGAGUGUGAGAGUGGAAAGUUCACACUGUGACGGUAUCUUACCAGAAAGGGACGGCUAACUACGUG
rnacentral:rRNA from 1 species